GCUCAGUUAGUUCAAUUGGUAGAAUACUGAAUAAUAUACUUUUUAUUACAGAAACACAGGUUUAAAUCCUGCACUGGCCU